GACGAACGCUGGCGGCGUGCUUAACACAUGCAAGUCGAACGGAAAGGCCCUGCUCUUGUGGGUUUCUCGAGUGGCGAACGGGUGAGUAACACGUGAGUAACCUGCCCUUGACUUUGUGAUAACUUCAGGAAACUGGGGCUAAUACCGGAUAGGAUCUCCUGCUGCAUGGGGGGGGUUGGAAAGUUUCGGCUGUGGGGGCUGGACUCGCGGCUUAUCAGCUGGUUGGGGAGGUAGUGGCUUACCAAGGCUUUGACGGGUAGCCGGCCUGAGAGGGUGACCAGGGACCUUGGGCCUGCGGUAGGGACCAGAAUGCUACGGGACGCAGUAGUGGAGAAUCUUACACAAUGAGGGGACGUGUGAUGCAGAAACGCCGGGUGCGGGAUGCCCGGUUUCGAGGUAUAAACCGCUUUCGACUGUGCCGUAGAGUGAGUGACGGUAAUGAGUAAAGAAGCAACGGCUAACUACGUG
rnacentral:rRNA from 1 species